rnacentral:lncRNA from 1 species
CAUUCAUAUUCAUAUCAUAACGUGUAGAAUCUGACCUUGGAGCCCUUUUUUGUUUUCUUUGCGGAACCUCUCAUGUUGGUGGAGCAGAAGCAGCCCAACAUGGGUCGGCGGGGAUUGGUGGUGGGGAACUACUGCCACGACGUUCUGAUCCGGAACGACGUCGUUGUGGGGGAGACUCUCGGUGGCGCCGCGUCCUUCAUCUCCAAUGUCCUCGACGGGGUUUCGAUUCGCUGUGAUUUGGUCUCCAAAGUGGGCUCCGACUUCGCCUACUCCGUGGCUCACCCCCCAAUUGUGGUGCCCACUUC